rnacentral:rRNA from 1 species
GAUGAACGCUGGCGGCGUGCCUAAUACAUGCAAGUCGAGCGAACAGACGAGUAGCUUGCUCCUCUGACGUUAGCGGCGGACGGGUGAGUAACACGUGGAUAACCUACCUAUAAGACUGGGAUAACGUCGGGAAACCGGAGCUAAGACCGGAUAAUAUAUUGAACCGCAUGGUUCAAUAGUGAAAGACGGUUUUGCUGUCACGUAUAGAUGGAUCAGCGCCGCAUUAACUAGUUGGUAAGGUAACGGCUUACCAAGGCAACGAUGCGUAGCCGACCUGAGAGGGAGAUCGGCCAGCCUGGAACUGAGACACGGCCCAGACUCCUACGGGAGGAAGCAGUAGGGAAUCUUCCGCAAUGGGCGAAAGCCUGACGUAGCAACGCCGCGUGAGUCAUGAAGGUCUCCGGCUCGUAAAACUCUGUUAUUAGGGAAGUACAAAUGUGUAAGUAACUAUGAACGUAUUGACGGUACCUAAUCAGAAAGCCACGGCUAACUACGUG